ensembl:snoRNA
UGAUGGCAGUGAUGAUUCCUAUAAUGUUGCUCACCUGAUGUACAAACAUGAGGGUGCAUAGUCACUACCUCAUCUGAGCCAUCU